GACGAACGCUGGCGGUGUGCUUAACACAUGCAAGUCGAACGGUAAGGCCCUUUCGGGGGUACACGAGUGGCGAACGGGUGAGUAACACGUGAGUAACCUGCCCUCAUCUCUGGGAUAACAGUCGGAAACGGUUGCUAAUACUGGAUAUGAGCUUGCAAGGCAUCUUGUGGGUUGGAAAGAUUUUUUUUGGUUGGGGAUGGACUCGCGGCCUAUCAGCUUGUUGGUGAGGUAGUGGCUCACCAAGGCUUCGACGGGUAGCCGGCCUGAGAGGGCGACCGGCCACAUUGGGACUGAGAUACGGCCCAAACUCCUACGGGAGGCAGCGGUGGGGAAUAUUGCACAAUGGACGGAAGUCUGAUGCAGCAACGCCGCGUGCGGGAUGACGGCCUUCGGGUUGUAAACCGCUUUCAAUUGUGACGAAGCUUUUUUGUGACGGUAGCAGUAGAAGAAGCACCGGCUAACUACGUG
rnacentral:rRNA from 1 species